UACGUAGGGGGCAAGCGUUAUCCGGAUUCACUGGGUGUAAAGGGAGCGUAGACGGCGACGCAAGUCUGGAGUGAAAGCCCGGGGCCCAACCCCGGGACUGCUCUGGAAACUGCGUCGCUGGAGUACGGGAGGGGCAGGCGGAAUUCCUGGUGUAGCGGUGAAAUGCGUAGAUAUCAGGAGGAACACCGGCGGCGAAGGCGGCUUGCUGGACGAAAACUGACGUUGAGGCUCGAAAGCGUGGGGAGCAAACAGG
rnacentral:rRNA from 1 species